AGACCCGAAACCCGGUGAUCUAGCCAUGGGCAGGUUGAAGGUUGGGUAACACUAACUGGAGGACCGAACCGACUAAUGUUGAAAAAUUAGCGGAUGACCUGUGGCUGGGGGUGAAAGGCCAAUCAAACCGGGAGAUAGCUGGUUCUCCCCGAAAGCUAUUUAGGUAGCGCCUCGUGAAUUCAUCUCCGGGGGUAGAGCACUGUUUCGGCUAGGGGGCCAUCCCGGCUUACCAACCCGAUGCAAACUGCGAAUACCGGAGAAUGUUAUCACGGGAGACACACGGCGGGUGCUAACGUCCGUCGUGAAGAGGGAAACAACCCAGACCGCCAGCUAAGGUCCCAAAGUCAUGGUUAAGUGGGAAACGAUGUGGGAAGGCCCAGACAGCCAGGAUGUUGGCUUAGAAGCAGCCAUCAUUUAAAGAAAGCGUAAUAGCUCACUGGUCGAGUCGGCCUGCGCGGAAGAUGUAACGGGGCUAAACCAUGCACCGAAGCUGCGGCAGCGACACUGUGUGUUGUUGGGUAGGGGAGCGUUCUGUAAGCCUGUGAAGGUGUGUCGUGAGGCAUGCUGGAGGUAUCAGAAGUGCGAAUGCUGACAUAAGUAACGAUAAAGCGGGUGAAAAGCCCGCUCGCCGGAAGACCAAGGGUUCCUGUCCAACGUUAAUCGGGGCAGGGUGAGUCGACCCCUAAGGCGAGGCCGAAAGGCGUAGUCGAUGGGAAACGGGUUAAUAUUCCCGUACUUGGUGUUACUGCGAAGGGGGGACGGAGAAGGCUAUGUUGGCCGGGCGACGGUUGUCCCGGUUUAAGCGUGUAGGUGUGUGUUCCAGGUAAAUCCGGUUCACUUUAACACUGAGGCGUGACGACGAGGCACUACGGUGCUGAAGCAACAAAUGCCCUGCUUCCAGGAAAAGCCUCUAAGCAUCAGGUAACAUCAAAUCGUACCCCAAACCGACACAGGUGGUCAGGUAGAGAAUACCAAGGCGCUUGAGAGAACUCGGGUGAAGGAACUAGGCAAAAUGGUGCCGUAACUUCGGGAGAAGGCACGCUGACACGUAGGUGAAGUGAUUUACUCAUGGAGCUGAAGUCAGUCGAAGAUACCAGCUGGCUGCAACUGUUUAUUAAAAACACAGCACUGUGCAAACACGAAAGUGGACGUAUACGGUGUGACGCCUGCCCGGUGCCGGAAGGUUAAUUGAUGGGGUCAGCGCAAGCGAAGCUCCUGAUCGAAGCCCCGGUAAACGGCGGCCGUAACUAUAACGGUCCUAAGGUAGCGAAAUUCCUUGUCGGGUAAGUUCCGACCUGCACGAAUGGCGUAAUGAUGGCCAGGCUGUCUCCACCCGAGACUCAGUGAAAUUGAACUCGCUGUGAAGAUGCAGUGUACCCGCGGCAAGACGGAAAGACCCCGUGAACCUUUACUAUAGCUUGACACUGAACAUUGAGCCUUGAUGUGUAGGAUAGGUGGGAGGCUUUGAAGUGUGGACGCCAGUCUGCAUGGAGCCGACCUUGAAAUACCACCCUUUAAUGUUUGAUGUUCUAACGUGGACCCGUUACCCGGGUUGCGGACAGUGUCUGGUGGGUAGUUUGACUGGGGCGGUCUCCUCCUAAAGAGUAACGGAGGAGCACGAAGGUUGGCUAAUCCUGGUCGGACAUCAGGAGGUUAGUGCAAUGGCAUAAGCCAGCUUGACUGCGAGCGUGACGGCGCGAGCAGGUGCGAAAGCAGGUCAUAGUGAUCCGGUGGUUCUGAAUGGAAGGGCCAUCGCUCAACGGAUAAAAGGUACUCCGGGGAUAACAGGCUGAUACCGCCCAAGAGUUCAUAUCGACGGCGGUGUUUGGCACCUCGAUGUCGGCUCAUCACAUCCUGGGGCUGAAGUAGGUCCCAAGGGUAUGGCUGUUCGCCAUUUAAAGUGGUACGCGAGCUGGGUUUAGAACGUCGUGAGACAGUUCGGUCCCUAUCUGCCGUGGGCGCUGGAGAACUGAGGGGGGCUGCUCCUAGUACGAGAGGACCGGAGUGGACGCAUCACUGGUGUUCGGGUUGUCAUGCCAAUGGCACUGCCCGGUAGCUAAAUGCGGAAGAGAUAAGUGCUGAAAGCAUCUAAGCACGAAACUUGCCCCGAGAUGAGUUCUCCCUGAGACUUAAAGUCUCCUGAAGGAACGUUGAAGACGACGACGUUGAUAGGCCGGGUGUG
rnacentral:rRNA from 1 species